rnacentral:rRNA from 1 species
GACGAACGCUGGCGGCGUGCUUAACACAUGCAAGUCGAGCGGUAAGGCCCUUUCGGGGGUACACGAGCGGCGAACGGGUGAGUAACACGUGGGUGACCUGCCCUCAGCUCUGGGAUAAGCCCGGGAAACUGGGUCUAAUACCGGAUAUGAUCUUCUGUUGCAUGACGGGGGAUGGAAAGUUCUUCGGCUGGGGAUGGGCCCGGGCCUAUCAGCUUGUUGGUGGGGUGAUGGCCUACCAAGGCGA